rnacentral:rRNA from 1 species
AACGAACGCUGGCGGCAUGCCUAACACAUGCAAGUCGAACGAGACCUUCGGGUCUAGUGGCGCACGGGUGCGUAACGCGUGGGAACCUGCCCUUAGGUUCGGAAGAACUCCCCGAAAGGGGUGCUAAUACCGGAUAAUGUCUUCGGACCAAAGAUUUAUCGCCUUUGGAUGGGCCCGCGUUGGAUUAGCUAGUUGGUAGGGUAAAAGCCUACCAAGGCGACGAUACAUAGCUGGUCUGAGAGGAUGAUCAGACACACUGGGACUGAGACACGGCCCAGACUCCUACGGGAGGCAGCAGUGGGGAAUAUUGGAAAAUGGGCGAAAGCAUGAUCCAGCACUGACGCGUGAGUGAUGAAGGCCUUAGGGUUGUAAAGCUCUUUUAUCCGGGAUGAUAAUGACAGUACCGGGAGAAUAAGCUCCGGCUAACUCCGUG